AAUUAUACGAAUGUAGCAAACAGACUUAUUAACAUGGAUUAAGGCAUACACAUAUUAAAUGUAUUUUAAAUUAACCGAUUGUACAAAUAAAGGACCAAAUUAAUAUUGCAGUAGAACAGGGAGGAUAAUUUGCAAAUAAAUUGUUCAUAAUAUGGACCAAUGCUCGAUGCAUAUAAAUGUAUGAGGACCAAAAAUUUUUCCCCAAGCCAAAAACCGCAGUACUGUAUCAUGGAUUAAAAUGAAAACACGCUCAAAUCAGUAAGCUAAAUUAAAAAAACAAAACAAAGCGAAACAGAUGCAAUUGAAGCCCUACGCAAAUGCAGAGGACUUAGCGUGCAAAUUUCUCACUUAUACAAAAUUGGCGCAGAUCCGAUCCACAAUUCAGGCCAAUACGCGGACCUUCAUGGCUAACAAACGAUGCCGUUUGGCUUUAUGGGUGAUUUUGGACCCUUUUUCCUUUCUUUUUUCAAUCGCCCAUCCAUUUUAACAAAAAAAAAACAGCAGCCCUAAAUUAAUAUUGCUAGGGCUCUUAGUGUUUGCCGAAUCCCUCAUUUUGCUUGGUAAACGGCGAUGGACCAGCAUCGAUCAAAUUCAAUGCGCGCCCAUACAAAAAUGGUAGACUAUUCUUUCCUUUUUCUUUUUUUUUUUACAGAAUCUUUGAACCAAUUUCAUUUUUUAAAAAAAAACGAAAACUAAUAAAAUGAACCCAACAUCGUUCGACCCUCGCCCGUAUCUAUAUGUGAUAUCAAGGCUUUCAUCGGUGUCGAUUUGAGUUCAUCCUCGUAUAUUCGUGCUAAAUCUGCGAAUCAAUCAAAGAAAAUAAAGAAUAAAUCUGAGAUUCACCUUUCAAACUUUAGGCUAGAUUUUUUGAAUAAAAAGGAAAAAAAUGUAAAUCAUAUUUUUAGCUGGCAUUUCUGUUAUUCUUUUUGUUCUCGCAGGUUCUAUGGGAGCACGGGACUACUGUACGGUGAAGAAGGCCAUGCAGGUCUGGCAUGUUCCAGAAACUUCACUAUUUUGGGCCUGCUUUGCAAUCGGAUAGUUGGGGUAAAAACUACUGCCGCGGCACUAAUAUGAAACCUGCAUCUAGCUCAUUCGGGUCUAUUAGGCCAUUUUUUGCAUUUGGGCCCCUUUUGGGUUGUUUGUAAACUGGGUUGGGAUGUAGGUUUAUUUAGUAUUUUGAAAAUUGUAAAUGGACUUUUUUAGACUAUUUAGUCUUGGACUUUAUUUAUUUAUUUGCGUUUAUUUAUAAAUAAAUUAAAUGGGCCUGGGCAAAAUUGGUUGGCUACAAAGUCCAUCGUUACUGGCUCUCAUUUCCGCAUCGGUAUUUUAACUAGCUGUAGCAAACUCAACGGUAACUGAUGCUCAGCCUUAACCUGCUGGCACGUCAAACAGUGAGCAAUGAAGUCAGUAACCUUACGUUUCAACCCUGGCCACCAGUACAACUCUCGAAGAUCUUUAUACAACUUGUUUCCACCAGGAUGCAUAGCAUAAGGACUACUGUGUGCUUCCUUCAAAAUCAACCGCCUCAAAUCCUCAUUAUUAGGUACACAGAUCCUACCUUG
rnacentral:lncRNA from 1 species